AUGGGGUUUACGGAUCGUUUGGCCGUCUAUACUAAAUGCGGAUAGUGCAAAUGAAUUUGUAAGAAAAAUCAAUGUUUAGUCAUGAAAGUUCACCCCAGUUUAUUUUUAUACUUGUAAAAUUUUAUUACCACAUGUGAAUGUAUUAGAUGUUUAUGAUUUAUAAAGAAAAAUAAAAGUUUUAGAAUGAGAAUCAUUACUAUCUCUAUUCUAUAAGCCAAGAGCUGAGGGUAUUGUAGUAAAUUAACUUUUCGUGUCCACUUGCCAAAAUACAAUUACAUCCUCCCCCGUUAACCAGUUAUUCACGAUACAAAUCCUUACCUCCGCCGCUUCACUCUCACACAAUCACACACAGGCACACAGCUCUCUUUCUCUCUCCUAGGUAAAUCACUCUCAUCUUUCUCUCUCCUCCCUUCCCUCAAAGAUCUCAAAUAUUCAAUUCUCUCUCAUCUUCGAUCUAAUUUUCUGGUAAUUUAUACAAUCAAUUCUUCUUUUCUAAUUUCUUUUGCAGCAAUUUUGUUACAUGUCGACGGCGUAAACGGAACAAAGGGCGGCGAUUAUGGCGACGAGGUGUCGGCGGCUUAGGAGAGAGUGAAAGAGGAGGACCUCUGUAACACAUCCUGUCAUCUGGGUACAAUGGAGGACCUCCACUGCCUAGGAAGCUGAUUUCUUAGGGUUGCUAUUAACAAAAAGUUCAACGUUGAAGUUUAUCCUCUAUCCCUAAAGCUAACAGAUUCCAGGGACAAUCGUCAAUCUGAAGUGUCAAUAAGAAGGCUUCUAUACUUGAGUUUUAUGAGAAAGUGCGUGCACUUAAAGGGCUGCCACAAGAGAAGGUGUGGAUUGCUUUAUGGGAUUGUUUGCCUUUUCUAAACAUAGAAGUUUUUCUUCUAUUGUCUGAUUUCUCAUAUUUUUAACGUGAACAGUUCCAAGUAUGGGACUACUUCAAUGAGAGGAAGUAAUGUAUAUUAAUUCCACCAGACAAGACUUUGGAGGAUGCUUACCUUCAAAUGGACCAACAUGUUAUUAGUGCUUUCUUUCUCUACUUUUUUUUUUUUUUUUUUUUUUCCUUCUGAAAGGCUUUCUUUCUCUACUUUGUACAACGUAAUAAUAGGAAUGAUAUAUAUUUUACCCAAAAAAAUAGGAAUUAUGUAUAAUUUUUUUUAUUUUAUUUUGUUAACAAAUUUUGUGGCAUAUUAUUUUUGGUGAUUAGUUACAAUAAAAUAAAGUUCUGAUAUUAUCUCGUACGCAUCGCGUGCA